UACGGGGGGGGCAAGCGUUGUUCGGAAUUACUGGGCGUAAAGGGCUCGUAGGCGGCCAACUAAGUCAUACGUGAAAUCCCUCGGCUUAACCGGGGAACUGCGUCUGAUACUGGAUGGCUUGAGUUCGGGAGAGGGAUGCGGAAUUCCAGGUGUAGCGGUGAAAUGCGUAGAUAUCUGGAGGAACACCUGAGGUGAAGACGGGUUGCUGGGCUGACACUGACGCUGAGGCGCGAAAGCUAGGGUAGCAAACGGG
rnacentral:rRNA from 1 species